rnacentral:lncRNA from 1 species
GUUCAAUUUUGGGCCUACGUGACAAGCCACAUUUUAAUGACAUCUUUCCCCAGGUAUGGCUCAAGCUUGUAUGUGGGCUCUAGAUUGGAAGAAUAAAUUCUGGGGACAUUUGAGACUUUUUUAGAUGCUGGUGAGAUAGUCAACCCUCGUGAAUGAAAAAGUUCUGGGGAGAGCCUUUGGACAUUGCUUUCAGGAAGAUUGAUUCUGAUCAUCUUAUCAGCCAAGGCAUAUGACCAGGGAGAGUGCUGGGAGCAGGCAGGCCGUUUCCACCACCGUGACACAGAAACAAACGGCAGAUUAUCUGCUGGGUACAAAAGAGUUCAACAUGUUCAGCCACCAUCUGCCCAACUGCAAAUUCAGCAGGAAAGAAGCACAGGUGAAGUUGAGAGGAGACUCUUGAAUGUGCCAGAGACAUCCACUAAGAUUACUGACUUUUCAAAUCCUGCCCCAGAUUUUUCCCCAAAGACAGAUAAAUCAAGCUACCAAAGCUAUGACAGUCAGAAAAGUUACCUUUAUGUCAGUAAAUUGACAUGCAAUAUGUGUCCUCCAGUAACAUGCUUGUACAAAGCACUGAAUGUGUGCUAUAGUGUGUUACAUAUGAUCAACCCUUCAGCCAAACAGGAUAUUACUUAUCUGGGAGUGUCAAGCCAUUUACAUUUUUGAAUGACAUGUACAAGUUUAAAAUAUGAUUAAGAUUUUGGCUUUUGGUAGAGCUACUCUCUCUAUUGACCUUCCUGCCCCCCCUGAAGAAACCAACCUUUACCAACCUUCUGGGAUAAAAUCAGAUCUGGUAUAGAUCUGUAUAUCUCUUGAAUUCGCUGAACUCAAGCAUUUUUUUCACUAACGACAAAAGUGAUUUUAACUAACUUCACCCUACAAACAGUUCAGUGUACUGCCAGAAAGUGAGAAGAUGGUCUCCUUCUCAAAAGAAAGGAAGAGGCAAGACUUUUUGGCCAUUUGUAUUGUUUUAAACUGUGUGUCUAAGUUAUUUUGGCAGACUGUCACUCUCAAAGGGCCUCCCUUUACUGAGGAGAGAGGGGUCACAGAAAAGAUAAAGUCUCCUGCUCUUUGACCGGUGAGAUCAGUACUAUCCCUAAUAAAUAUGAUUCCCUAACUUAGACACUUAGAAUAUCCCAAGUAUUAUUUCUAAUAUUGUGCCUCUAUUUUACUGGGCCAGAUUUAAUAGAUUUGUAAGUUAGUGCAAAGAUAUUAGUCAUGAAAGGUUACUGGCAACUGGAAGUCAGCAGUUGCCAAGAGCAAUCUUUUUUUUUUUUUUUUUUUUUUUUUUUUUUUCCCCAGUAUUUUGUGAGGUUAC